UGACCAGGUCGCGAAAUCUGGCCAUGGCC
rnacentral:sRNA from 1 species